rnacentral:tRNA from 1 species
UUAGGCUAAACUAUUCUUUGGCAAAGUACAUAUAUGUAUUUACCCCAUAU